CAGAGGUUACUGCUAUCKMGRWUCGACUAAGCCAUGCGAGUUGAAUGUUCUUCGUGAACAUGGCGGACUGCUCAGUAACACGUGGACAACCUACCCUUGGGUCCGGCAUAAUCCUGGGAAACUGGGAAUAAUUCCGGAUAGGUCACCGAUGCUGGAAUGCGCGGUGGCCGAAAGCUCCGGCGCCCGAGGAUGGGUCUGCGGCCUAUCAGGGUUGUAGUGGGUGUAACGUACCUACUAGCCUACGACGGGUACGGGUUGUGAGAGCAAGAGCCCGGAGAUGGAUUCUGAGACACGAAUCCAGGCCCUACGGGGUGCAGCAGGCGCGAAAACUUUACAAUGCGGGAAACCGUGAUAAGGGGAUCUCGAGUGCCAGCAUAUAAUGUUGGCUGUCCAGAUGCCUAAAAAGCAUCUGUUAGCAAGGGCCGGGCAAGACCGGUGCCAGCCGCCGCGGUAACACCGGCGGCCCGAGUGGUAACCGCUAUUAUUGGGUCUAAAGGGUCUGUAGCCGGCCAGGUAAGUCCCUUGGGAAAUCUGGCAGCUCAACUGUCAGGCUGCUAGGGGAUACUGUUUGGCUUGGGACCGGGAGAGGUGAGAGGUACCUUGGGGGUAGGGGUGAAAUCUUGUGAUCCUCGAGGGACCACCAGUGGCGAAGGCGUCUCACCAGAACGGGUCCGACGGUAAGGGACGAAAGCUAGGGGCACGAACCGGAUUAGAUACCCGGGUAGUCCUAGCCGUAAACGAUGCUCGCUAGGUGUCAGUCACGGUGCGACCGUGAUUGGUGCCGUAGGGAAGCCGUGAAGCGAGCCACCUGGGAAGUAUGGCCGCAAGGCUGAAACUUAAAGGAAUUGGCGGGGAGMRCRCUWCARCSKKUGGAGCCUGCGGUUUAAUG
rnacentral:rRNA from 1 species